UAAUAAUGCCAGGAAGCUGAUUUCCCUCUAUUUAUCAACCAAACAAGUUCAACGGCAGUGCAGGCUUUCAUACACUGCCCCCUCACUGUGCCUCAAACACUGGCCUGGAGGGACCUCCUCUACAGGAUAGCUCAGUCCUCGGGGCCUCUUCUACUGCCAGG
rnacentral:sRNA from 1 species